rnacentral:rRNA from 1 species
CGACGCCGCGUGGAGGAAGACGGCCUUCGGGUUGUAAACUCCUGUCAGAGGUGAAGAAUGCCCGCAAGGGCUUGACGGUAACCUCAGAGGAAGCCCCGGCUAACUACGUGCCAGCAGCCGCGGUAAUACGUAGGGGGCGAGCGUUGCUCGGAAUUACUGGGCGUAAAGGGAGUGCAGGCGGCCGGUUAAGUCGAAGAUGAAAUCCCGAGGCUCAACUUCGGAACGGUCUUCGAUACUGAUCGGCUUGAGGCUGGCUGAGGAGAGCGGAAUUCCCGGUGGAGCGGUGAAAUGCGUAGAUAUCGGGAGGAACACCAGAGGCGAAGGCGGCUCUCUAAACUAGUCCUGACGCUGAGACUCGAAAGCUAGGGGAGCAAACGGGAUUAGA